rnacentral:rRNA from 1 species
AUUGAACGCUGGCGGCAGGCCUAACACAUGCAAGUCGAACGGUAACAGGAAGCAGCUUGCUGCUUCGCUGACGAGUGGCGGACGGGUGAGUAAUGUCUGGGAAACUGCCUGAUGGAGGGGGAUAACAACUGGAAACGGUAGCUGAUACCGCAUAAUGUCGCAAGACCAAAGAGGGGGACCUUCGGGCCUCUUGCCAUCGGAUGUGCCCGGAUGGGAUUAGCGUGUUGGUGGGGUAACGGCUCACCAAGGCGACGAUCCCUAGCUGGUCUGAGAGGAUGACCAGCCACACUGGAACUGAGACACGGUCCAGACUCCUACGGGAGGCAGCAGUGGGGAAUAUUGCACAAUGGGCGCAAGCCUGAUGCAGCCAUGCCGCGUGUAUGAAGAAGGCCUUCGGGUUGUAAAGUACUUUCAGCGGGGAGGAAGGGAGUAAAGUUAAUACCUUUGCUCAUUGACGUUACCCGCAGAAGAAGCACCGGCUAACUCCGUGCCAGCCGCCGCGGUAA